rnacentral:tRNA from 1 species
GCGCCUGUAGCUCAGUGGAUAGAGCACUGGUCUUCGAAACCAGGUGUCGUGGGUUCGAAUCCCCCCGGGCGCGCCA